GAUGAAGAACGCAGCGAAAUGCGAUACGUAAUGUGAAUUGCAGAAUUCAGUGAAUCAUCGAGUCUUUGAACGCACAUUGCGCCCCCUGGUAUUCCGGGGGGCAUGCCUGUCCGAGCGUCAUUGCUGCCCUCAAGCACGGCUUGUGUGUUGGGCCUCCGUCCUCCUCCCGGGGGACGGGCCCGAAAGGCAGCGGCGGCACCGCGUCCGGUCCUCGAGCGUAUGGGGCUUCGUCACCCGCUCUUGUAGGCCCGGCCGGCGCUUGCCGACACAUCAAUCUUUUUUCCAGGUUGACCUCGGAUCAGGUAGGGAUUCCCGCUGAACUUAAGCACAUCAAUAAGCGGAGGA
rnacentral:misc_RNA from 1 species